AUGGUUUCGCGCCAUGCGCGGCCUGCACCUGCAGUCAUGGCUUUCCGAGAAAGAGGCUGCGGCUCUCGAGCCUUGACUGUGGCAUGGAAAUCCCUGUCAUCAUGCAUGCGCGCCACCCGCUUGAUGAUUGUGGUGCUUUCUGUUUGUUUGUGUAGAGUGCAAGUGAUUGAUUGUUCAUGCAAAAACCUGUUCUGUUGUAAGGCAAAAAAAAAAAAACACGAAAAGAUUGUUGCUAGAUUUAAAUUCGAGUUGCUAACUGAGUAUAGCUCAGAUGGUUACAUUUCUUGUGGUGAAACCAGCCCCCAUAGUUAA
rnacentral:rRNA from 1 species